rnacentral:rRNA from 1 species
AAAUUGAAGAGUUUGAUCAUGGCUCAGAUUGAACGCUGGCGGCAGGCCUAACACAUGCAAGUCGAACGGUAACAGAAAGCAGCUUGCUGCUUUGCUGACGAGUGGCGGACGGGUGAGUAAUGUCUGGGAAACUGCCUGAUGGAGGGGGAUAACUACUGGAAACGGUAGCUAAUACCGCAUAACGUCGCAAGACCAAAGAGGGGGACCUUCGGGCCUCUUGCCAUCGGAUGUGCCCAGAUGGGAUUAGCUUGUUGGUGGGGUAACGGCUCACCAAGGCGACGAUCUCUAGCUGGUCUGAGAGGAUGACCAGCCACACUGGAACUGAGACACGGUCCAGACUCCUACGGGAGGCAGCAGUGGGGAAUAUUGCACAAUGGGCGCAAGCCUGAUGCAGCCAUGCCGCGUGUAUGAAGAAGGCCUUCGGGUUGUAAAGUACUUUCAGCGGGGAGGAAGGGAGUAAAGUUAAUACCUUUGCUCAUUGACGUUACC